UACGUAGGGGGCUAGCGUUGUCCGGAUUUAUUGGGCGUAAAGAGCGUGUAGGCGGCCAGGUAGGUCUGCUGUGAAAACUCGAGGCUCAACCUCGAGACGUCGGCGGAAACCAUCUGGCUAGAGUCCGGAAGAGGAGAAUGGAAUUCCCGGUGUAGCGGUGAAAUGCGUAGAUAUGCGGAGGAACACCGAUGGCGAAGGCAAUCCCCUGGGCCUGCACUGACGCUCAUGCACGAAAGCGUGGGGAGCAACAGG
rnacentral:rRNA from 1 species